UGGGGAAUUUUGGACAAUGGGCGCAAGCCUGAUCCAGCCAUGCCGCGUGCGGGAAGAAGGCCUUCGGGUUGUAAACCGCUUUUGUCGGGGAAGAAAUCUCUCGGGCUAAUACCUCGGGGGGAUGACGGUACCCGAAGAAUAAGCACCGGCUAACUACGUGCCAGCAGCCGCGGUAAUACGUAGGGUGCGAGCGUUAAUCGGAAUUACUGGGCGUAAUGCGUGCGCAGGCGGUCGUGCAAGACAGAUGUGAAAUCCCCGGGCUCAACCUGGGAACUGCAUGUGUGACUGCACGGCUGGAGUACGGCAGAGGGGGAUGGAAUUCCGCGUGUAGCAGUGAAAUGCGUAGAUAUGCGGAGGAACACCGAUGGCGAAGGCAGUCCCCUGGGCCUGUACUGACGCUCAUGCACGAAAGCGUGGGGAGCAAACA
rnacentral:rRNA from 1 species